CUCAGGAUGAACGCUAGCUACAGGCUUAACACAUGCAAGUCGAGGGGCAGCGCAGUGUAGCAAUACACGGGCGGCGACCGGCGCACGGGUGCGUAACGCGUAUCCAACCUUCCCGAUACUCUUGGAUAGCCUUCCGAAAGGGAGAUUAAUACAGGAUGGUGUUUGAAUUUCGCAUGUAGAUCAAACUAAAGAUUUAUCGGUAUCGGAUGGGGAUGCGUUCCAUUAGCUUGUUGGCGGGGUAACGGCCCACCAAGGCGACGAUGGAUAGGGGUUCUGAGAGGAAGGUCCCCCACACUGGAACUGAGACACGGUCCAGACUCCUACGGGAGGCAGCAGUGAGGAAUAUUGGUCAAUGGUCGGAAGACUGAACCAGCCAAGUAGCGUGAAGGAUGAAGGUUCUAUGGAUUGUAAACUUCUUUUAUACGGGAAUAAAGCCCGCUACGUGUAGCGGUUUGUAUGUACCGUAUGAAUAAGCAUCGGCUAACUCCGUGCCAGCAGCCGCGGUAAUACGGAGGAUGCGAGCGUUAUCCGGAUUUAUUGGGUUUAAAGGGUGCGUAGGCGGACUAUUAAGUCAGUGGUGAAAUACCGGAGCUUAACUUCGGGGCUGCCAUUGAUACUGAUAGACUAGAGAGUAAAUGGAGUAGGCGGAAUAUGUCAUGUAGCGGUGAAAUGCUUAGAUAUGACAUAGAACACCGAUCGCGAAGGCAGCUUGCUAAGAUACAUCUGACGCUGAUGCACGAAAGCGUGGGGAUCGAACAGGAUUAGAUACCCUGGUAGUCCACGCAGUAAACGAUGAUAACUUGUUGUCGGCGAUACACAGUCGGUGACCAAGCGAAAGCGAUAAGUUAUCCACCUGGGGAGUACGAUCGCAAGGUUGAAACUCAAAGGAAUUGACGGGGGCCCGCACAAGCGGAGGAGCAUGUGGUUUAAUUCGAUGAUACGCGAGGAACCUUACCUAGACUCAAAUGUUGAGUGACCGUUUCAGAAAUGGAACUUCUCUUCGGAGCACUUAGCAAGGUGCUGCAUGGUUGUCGUCAGCUCGUGCCGUGAGGUGUCAGGUUAAGUCCUAUAACGAGCGCAACCCCUGCACAUAGUUGCCAUCAUUCAGUUGGGGACUCUAUGUGGACUGCCGGCGCAAGCCGCGAGGAAGGUGGGGAUGACGUCAAAUCAGCACGGCCCUUACGUCUAGGGCGACACACGUGCUACAAUGGUCGGUACAGAGGGCAGCUACCCAGCGAUGGGAUGCGAAUCUCGAAAGCCGAUCUCAGUUCGGAUCGGAGUCUGCAACUCGACUCCGUGAAGUUGGAUUCGCUAGUAAUCGCGUAUCAGCCAUGACGCGGUGAAU
rnacentral:rRNA from 1 species